GACGAACCUUGCUAACGUUAUUCGGAAUUACUGGGCUUAAAGGGUGCGUAGGCGGCGCGGUAAGUCGGGUGUGAAAUCUCGGAGCUUAACUCCGAAACUGCAUUCGAUACUGCCGUGCUUGAGGACUGGAGAGGAGACUGGAAUUUACGGUGUAGCGGUGAAAUGCGUAGAUAUCGUAAGGAAGACCAGUGGCGAAGGCGGGUCUCUGGACAGUUCCUGACGCUGAGGCACGAGGUCAGGGGAGCAAACGGG
rnacentral:rRNA from 1 species